rnacentral:lncRNA from 1 species
AUAAAUUUAGGAAAAACGAAAAAAUGGAAGAAAAUCCUACAGGAAAGGGCUGCUCGCACGGGGGCCUGUGUGCUGCUCGCGUGCACGCGCGCAUAGCUAGCGCGGGACGUUCGCACUAUGCGCACAGCUGGCACAGGACGUGCGCACUAUGUGCACAUCCCAUCCAUGCGCGCAGAGCAUGUCAACCCUACUCGCAUCUUGUCACCUGCAGGCGGGUUAUCCGCGCAUCACC